UACGGAGGGGGCAAGCGUUACUCGGAAUUAUUGGGCGUAAAGGGCGCGUAGGCGGUCGUGUGCGUCGAGGGUGAAAUCCCCGGGCUUAACCCGGGAGCUGCCUUCGAUACGGCACGGCUUGAGUCCGGGAGAGGGGAGCAGAAUUCCCAGUGUAGCGGUGAAAUGCGUAGAUAUUGGGAGGAAUACCGGUGGCGAAGGCGGCUCCCUGGACCGGUACUGACGCUGAGGCGCGAAAGCGUGGGUAGCAAACAGG
rnacentral:rRNA from 1 species